rnacentral:rRNA from 1 species
AAAAGCUCGUAGUUGAGCUCUGCUACCAGGACUUCUGCGCCUCGGCAAGGAAGUCUUGAUAGCAUCCAUCUGAGCAACGGCCCUGGCAUUGAUUUGUCGCGGUCGGGAUCAGAUACUUUACCUUGAGCAAAUUAGAGUGUUCCAGGCAGGCUUUGGCCUGAAUAGUCCAGCAUGGAAUAAUAGAAGAGGACUGAGUGUCAUUGGUGUUAUGGCAAUUAGUAAUGAUUAAUAGGGAUAGUUGGGGGCAUUCGUACUUAAUUGUCAGAGGUGAAAUUCUAUGAUUUAUUAAAGACGAACUUAUGCGAAAGCAUUUGCCAAGGAUGUUUUCAUUAAUCAAGAACGAAAGUUAAGGGAUCAAAGACGAUCAGAUACCGUCGUAGUCUUAACCAUAAACUAUGCCGACUAGAGAUUGGAGGUGCAACUCAAGUACUCCUUCAGCAUCUUCCGAGAAAUCAAAGUCUUUGGGCUCUGGGGGAAGUAUGGUCGCAAGACUGAAACUUAAAGGAAUUGACGGAAGGGCACCACCAGGAGUGGAGCCUGCGGCUUAAUUUGACUCAACACGGGGAAACUUACCAGGUCCAGACAUGGGAAGGAUUGACAGAUUGAUAGCUCUUUCUUGAUUCUAUGGGUGGUGGUGCAUGGCCGUUCUUAGUUGGUGGAGUGAUUUGUCUGGUUAAUUCCGAUAACGAACGAGACCUUAACCUGCUAACUAGUCGCUUCUCGCCAGAGAUUCUGACUUCUUAGAGGGACUUUGGGGGCUACUCCAAGGAAGUUUGAGGCAAUAACAGGUCUGUGAUGCCCUUAGAUGUCCUGGGCCGCACGCGCGCUACACUGAUGCAGCAGUAAGCUCUCCGCAGCAGACAUGCUCCGGUAAACUUCAACUGCAUCGUGAUGGGGAUUGACUCUUGAAUUUUGGUCAUCA